rnacentral:rRNA from 1 species
UACGAAGGGGGCGAGCGUUGUUCGGAUUUACUGGGCGUAAAGGGCGCGCAGGCGGCUCAUUUUGUCAGGCGUGAAAGCCCCGGGCUUAACCUGGGAACUGCGUUUGAUACGGAUGGGCUAGAGUUCGGGAGAGGAGAGUGGAAUUCCUGGUGUAGCGGUGAAAUGCGCAGAUAUCAGGAGGAACACCUAUAGCGAAGGCAGCUUGCUGGGACGUUACUGACGCUAAGGCGCGAAAGCGUGGGGAGCGAACAGG